CCUACGGGAGGCAGCAGUGGGGAAUAUUGCACAAUGGGGGAAACCCUGAUGCAGCGACGCCGCGUGAAGGAAGAAGUAUUUCGGUAUGUAAACUUCUAUCAGCAGGGAAGAAAAUGACGGUACCUGACUAAGAAGCCCCGGCUAACUACGUGCCAGCAGCCGCGGUAAUACGUAGGGGGCAAGCGUUAUCCGGAGUUACUGGGUGUAAAGGGAGCGUAGGCGGUGAAGCAAGUGAGAAGUGAAAGCCCGGGGCUCAACACCGGGACUGCUUUUGAAACUGUUGAACUAGAGUGCAGGAGAGGUAAGUGGAAUUCCUAGUGUAGCGGUGAAAUGCGUAGAUAUUAGGAGGAACACCAGUGGCGAAGGUGGCUUACUGGACUGUAAAUGACGCUGAGGCUCGAAAGCGUGGGGAGCAAACAGGAUUAGAUACCCCUGUAGUC
rnacentral:rRNA from 1 species